rnacentral:rRNA from 1 species
GAUUAGAUACCCUAUUAUUUAAAAUGUAAAAACUAAAGUAUUAAUAGAUAUGAUCUUUAAACUUAAAAAAUUUGGCGGUAUUUUAGUCUAUUCAGAGGAACCUGUUUUAUAAUCGAUAAUCCACGUUGGACCUUACUUUAAUUUAUAAAUUAGUUUAUAUACCGUCGUUAUAAAAAAUUUUAUAAGAAUAAUAAUUUUUAAAAUUUUAUAUCAGAUCAAGGUGUAGCUUAUAUUAAAGAAAAUAAUGGGUUACAAUAAAAUUAUUUAUAUGAAUAUAAAAAUGAAAAAUUUAUUGAAAGAGGAUUUGAAAGUAAAAUUAAAUAGAUUUUUAAUUUGAUUUUAGCUCUAAAAUAUGUACAUAUCGCCCGUCACUCUUAUUAUUAAAAUAAGAUAAG